GAUGAACGCUGGCGGCGUGCCUAAUACAUGCAAGUCGAGCGAACAGACGAGGAGCUUGCUCCUCUGACGUUAGCGGCGGACGGGUGAGUAACACGUGGAUAACCUGCCUAUAGGACUGGGAUAACUUCGGGAAACCGGAGCUAAUACCGGAUAAUAUAUUGAACCGCAUGGUUCAAUAGUGAAAGACGGUUUUGCUGUCACUUAUAGAUGGAUCCGCGCCGCAUUAGCUAGUUGGUAAGGUAACGGCUUACCAAGGCAACGAUGCGUAGCCGACCUGAGAGGGUGAUCGGCCACACUGGAACUGAGACACGGUCCAGACUCCUACGGGAGGCAGCAGUAGGGAAUCUUCCGCAAUGGGCGAAAGCCUGACGGAGCAACGCCGCGUGAGUGAUGAAGGUCUUCGGAUCGUAAAACUCUGUUAUUAGGGAAGAACAAAUGUGUAAGUAACUAUGCACGUCUUGACGGUACCUAAUCAGAAAGCCACGGCUAACUACGUG
rnacentral:rRNA from 1 species